AUAAAAGUCAAAAUAUAGGGGUUGAUAUGAUAAAAUCAUGCAAGUUGAAGAGUUACUUUGUAAAAAACAAAAUAUUAAUAACAAAGGAUAUUUUUGUCCUAAAAAUUUAUGAUUCACCCUUAUUUAUGCCUUGCAAACCCUAGUUUCAAUUCCACAAUUUGAAUUAGCUUGACCAAAAUUCUUCUUCCCCAGUCCAGGCAUUCCAACAGUUGAUAACAUCUAGAUCUGCCAAUCCUUUGUAUUUUUGUUCUUCUAUUUUUCACAUGACAUCUUCAAAAUCCACUGUGAGCUUCAUCAUAAGCUAAGAAAUGGUGAGUUUUGAUGAUGUGAUGCCUAAAAUAGGAUUAAUGAAAGUACUGGUAAAAAGGUGUUCAAAUCUGGAGGUUAUGUUAAGCUGGUGGUAUGCUUUGAUUGGGAAAGAUGACUUAGGUCAAAAUAAAUAUAUCCAGAUCUGGCACAAUCUUGUGUUUGCUAAUGGUAGAAGAAAAUGGAAGCUUGUACAACACCAAACAAAGGUAACAAUGAUGGGAGUCUCAAGAUAUUCAUGUUUUUAUGCUCGGGAUGGAAGCAGAUUCAGAAUUUAAAAAUUUAUAGUAUCCUAUAGCGAUUUCAAGUGAAUUACUGAAUUCAUAGUCAAAUAACUAUAGUCAUUUAAUGAAUUCCUUAUAUAGGAUUCGAAUAGAAGUUAUUGAA